UUUAGUUCAGUGAUGGAGCGUAGUGUGAAUUCUGGCACUGCACCACCGGAGGCCACAGCUCAAGAUCGCCGAUUUGCUAAUCCUUCUUCAUGGAAUCCCCGCAGACCGUCGUCCUCGCAUAGCAAUUCCGCUUUCGUUCUCCGUAUUGCAUGACCUGCUUUUGUUUACUUCUGGCGGAAUGGCCGUUUUGAUCGCAGUGGAUCAGGCGAGGAGGGGAAGCUUUGUAUGGGGGACUGGGAAGAAAAGGACUGGGCUCAUAGGAUCCAGUUCCUCUCCGGUGUCAAGAUAGUUCAGGACGCAAUUGGUGGUUGGCAUUGCUUGGCCGUGGACAACCAGGGCCGGGCUUAUGCUUGGUUCAUGCGAAAAAUGGAAAAGCUUUUGCGUUAGAAAUUGUGUUCAGAAGCUUUAGCUAGUAUAAGGCGGAGUGUUAGACCAUUAACUAUGAUUUUCUGCUUCGAAAACUCAAUCACAGUUGCUGCAAUUAGCGUCUUGCCUAUCAGGUUAGCUAUUUUGAAUUAAAUCUCUUAGAGAGUAAUGAUCUGGAUGAUUACUAGUUCAUAAAGCCAUUGGAAUAAAAGGAAUUAAAUCUCUUUUUCCAAUUAGCUUCCUAGAACCCAUUGGAAUAAAAGGAAAACUUCACCAUGUUCUCCAUAAUUUGGUAGUUCUAAAGACCUUGUUCAGGAAGGGCAUCUCUUGUGCUUCAAAGUUAGCUUUAUACCCUAAAAAUCCAAUGUAUAAUAGAUUUUAUAGCUAUUAUAAUUUAUAUAGAUGACUGAUUUCUGGAUUUCCAAAUUCAAGCAUGCACAUAAAAAUUUCUAGUGACUUGAUUGAUGUAUUCAGCUCAUCCUUUUAGUUUAAUAUUUCUUUAGUGAAUUUGUACUUAGUCAUGUCUCUGUAAAGCAAUCAUAUCGGAGUAAGGUUGAGCCUUCAAAUAAUUCAAAGUUAAAAGAUACUUACAGGAGGAAGUCCAAAGUUUGCAUAUUGAAUUAAUUUAGUUGGGAUUAACUACACUGCUCUUAUACGGCCAUUGAUUCUCUCUAAGUCUAUAUUGGUAACAACAGAACUUUAGUAGACGUAUCUAUGUUCUGAAGGUUGUCGACAUAGUUUUCUGUUAGAUGUCAGAGCCUAACACAACCCUUCACCUUUUCUUCUGGGUUUGGGAUAAGCUGAAUACUCCAAGCAUACAUAUCAUAAAUCUGACCAGCUAAUUUUAAUUGUACCACCUUUUAAUUUGGCCAGCUUAUAAUGAUUGAAGCUUCUUCAUCAGCACAUUAACCAUAACACAUUUGAUUAAUGUCAAAUCGAACCCUAGAAGAUACUCAGCUCUUAAAAAAAAUAUAGAUACAGAAAGGAACUAGCCUGCAUUGGUAAUGUCAAGCAUAGCUCACCUUUUCCUAUUGAAGAAGAUGAAAAAUCAGAUAAAAGGAACUUACUGGAGAUUGAUAGACCCAAAGUAGAUAAAAGUGAUCAAAUGGUACAAAGUGAGAGCAAGUUCUUCUCCUUGUACCUGAAAUAUAGCAGACCUUAGCUGCAAUGAUAUCAUAUCUAUGUUUAUUGCAUAACAGAUAAAGUAUGUCAUAUCAAAUUCAACAAAGUGACAUCUUACUUUGUUCUUAAAUAAAAAACUGCAGACAAUCAAAAGAAUAUCUAUUUUGUCAAGUUCUGCUAAAUGCUAAGUGCUGCAAAUCUGAUGGCAGCCUGAUUUUCAAGUUCAUCAACAUUUGACUGUCUGGCUUGCAAUUUAUGGACAUUUUAGUGCGCUUCUAUCUUGUCGACUUUAGGCACAUUUUACUCUCUAGCUUGCAGAUUCCCAAGUGCCUGGCUGAUUAUGGUGUUGUGUUUUCCAGUUAGUUGCUUUUCUCUUUCUAGAUCAUCAUUGCUGGUAGUGGUCGGCAUUCAGCUGCACCAACAGAUGAUGGAGAGGUAAAUAGUUAUGUUUUUCAUGUAGUCCAGUCAUGCAUGAUUUUACCCAAAACAAAGUAUGUUUGCAUUUCCUUAAUCCAAUCAUCCGAUUUACAUGGGAUAUUUCCUGUAGCAUGAUCAUACCUUGAGCUCAAAUUUAAAAUAAUUUGUUCUAUACUGUAGCAUUGGAGGAUAUUAACUUUUGUCAUUCAAGUUUCUUUGUGUGGAAGUGACAACUAAACAUUUGAGACUGGAUAUCAGUGACCAAACAUUCCUCAGUCAUUGAAAUAUUGGGGAUGUUAGCUUUUUACAAAUCAUCCAAAUUAUUCAACUUUCUGAAUUUAAGCAGUUUGAUCAAGGAUAUGAUCAUAGGCAUUUAAGAUCUGAUUAAAUGUUUGCAAAACAUUCAUGGUCUAUCAGCAGUAUAUUCCUUCAACUAUUAUAUACCUCAGAAUGUUCUUGUGUGUUACUAUAUUCAUAUACUACCGCCGGUUAAUGUUUUUCUUUAGAAACUUGGGGUCAUACCAUUCUGUUCCAGUGAUUCAGUUGUUUUCUUCCAUUGAAUUGUCAUCAAAGAAGCACAAGAAAACUUUAUUCUUCUAUUUCACUAGAUUUUAAAUUUCGCCUUAUUUGAAGCCUGUGAAUCUGUUUUUCUAGGGAAGGAAGCAAUUCACUUCUCUAGGAGGACUUUGUAAAUGAUUUAACUGUAAGAGGAAUGAGUUUUCAUGACAGUCAUUUGCAUUUGAUUUGCACAUUCAAGUGCACCUAGAAUAAAAACAGCAAUACGAGUUUGUAUUCGGUCUUGCUUAUGUUGACACUCAGAUUAGUAUCGUCGAAUUGGCAAGUUGUAUGAAUGGCGAAGAGGAGAGCAUGGAAGGCUCGGGCUUGGAGAUGAUAAGAGCAGCAAAAUGGUUUCUCAGAAAGUCCAACUCCUGGUGGGAACAAACAUUGUCCAGGUAUCUUGUUGAGGCACUCAUUCAGUGGCAUUGACUAUCGAUGGACGAAUUUUCUCGGUACAUGUAAGAUUUAGAAUUGUGGGGUGCAUUUGGUGAACAAGGUCAAUCGCCAUUGUGAGAAGAGUUAUGAAAACUUGUUUAGUCGCAAAAUAGUUUGGAAGAGGAGAGACCAUGGGGGCUUCGGUCAUGGGAAGAAGGUUACAACUGGCCAAGCAACUUACCACCCCCGAAAGAUCUCACCAAUUCUGAGGGCAGACGGAGUGCUAAGCUUGUUGCUUGUGAGGGACGACUCGCUUUUGCAAUUACAACAUGUAACGAUAACUCGAAGAGUCCCGUACAAGUUUUUUUUUUAAAAAACAUAGAGCUGUCACUUCAAUGGUCCCUAGAAUCGGUCCCAUGAAUAUAGAAGGAGAUAAAUACAGAUAUAUAAUUCAAAAUACAUGAUCGAAAUGCUAACUCUAAAUAAUGACACUCAUCGAACUCUGGACCUAUCGAUUAUGAAAUCAUGCAUCCUCAGUUAUGGAGUCCCGUACAAGCUCAAGAACAUAGUAAAAUAAGACUUGGUAGCACAAAAUGUAGUGCAUGAUCUAUGAUUAGAGGUUGGUUGCCAAAAUUUUUAGAAAUUUUGAGUUGAUGAACAGAUAAUCGAAUUGGAUGAUUAAAUACAUCAUUGUAAGUAGAGUUUAGGGGGAAAAUUUAUAUAGUCAAUUUAUGACAAAUUUUAUUAGAUAAUGAUGAAACACGUCAAUCUAAAAUUCUAAAUAGGAAAAAAUAAAUAAAUAGGAAAAAAUAAAUUUGUUUUGGCCAGAGAUUAUUGAUUUAUGCUAUUGAAUUAAGCCAUCAUUUUCUUCCAUUAAUUGUCUAGACAAAUUUAUUAAACAUCAAAUUUUGCAUAGAAUUUGAUCUGGUUCCACCCUCUGCCAGCCCAAUGUUGAAGCAUUGGGGCCGACAACCAAAAUCCACCACUUAAAGGGUAAACAAAUGGGUAAGAGUUAUAAGUACUAUACAGUGUUAGCUGCCACGUGGCCCACCA